GCAAAGCCGCGCCCAAAAUAACUGCCCGAAGGCCGGGGCGCCAAGUUCGUCCAUCGGAAAAAAGCCCCAAAAACGGGUGGGCUAUAGCCUUGGGGGGUGGGGCAGGCCGACUUCGUCCGCCGGACUCGGAAUGCCGCGAGACUUUGGGAGGGGCCUCCAUGUGCAGAAAAUAGGCCACGGGCGAAGCCGCGUGCAAAAAUAACUGCCCGAAGGCCGGGGCGCCAAGUUCGUCCAGCGGAAAAAGGCCACAAAAACGGGUUGGCUAUAGCCUUGGGGGGUGGGGCUGGCCGACUUCGUCCGCCGGACACGGAAUGCCGCUAGACUUUGUGAGGGGCCUCCAUGUGUAGAAAAUAGGCCACGGACGAACCCGCGCCCAAAAAUAACUGCCCGACGGCCGGGGCGCCAAGUUCGUCCAGCGGAAAAAGGCCACAAAAACGGGUGCGCUAUAGCCUUGGGGGGUGGGGCUGGCCAACUUCGUCCACCGGACUCGGAAUGCCGCGAGACUUUGCGAGGGGCCUCCGUGUGGCAAAAAUAUGCCGCCGACAAAGCUGCGCCCAAAAAUAACCGCCCGAAGGCCGGGGCGCCAAGUUCGUCCAGCGGAAAAAGGCCACAAAAACGGGUGGGCUAUAGCCUUGGGGGGUGGGGCUGGCCAACUUCGUCCGCCGGACUCGGAAUACCGCGAGACUUUGCGAGGGGCCUCCGUGUGCAGAACAUAGGCUGCGGGCAAAGCCGCGCCCAAAAAUAACCGCCCGAAAGCCGGGGCGCCAAGUUCGUCCAGCGGAAAAAGGCCACAAAAACGGGUGGGCUAUAGCCUUGGGGGGUGGGGCUGGCCGACUUCGUCCGCCGGACUCGGAAUGCCGCGAGACUUUGCGAGGGGCCUCCGUGUGCAGAAAAUAGGCCACGGGCGAAGCCGCGCCCCAAAAUAACUGCCCGAAGGCCGGGGCGCCAAGUUCGUCCAGCGGAAAAAGGCCACAAAAACGGGUGGGCUAUAGCCUUGGGGGGUGGGGCUGGCCGACUUCGUCCGCCGGACUCGGAAUGCCGCGAGACUUUGCGAGGGGCCUCCGUGUGCAGAAAAUAGGCUGCGGACGAAGCUGCGCCCCAAAGUAACUGCCCGAAGGCCGGGGCGCCAAGUUCGUCCAGCGGAAAAAGGCCACAAAAACGGGUGGGCUAUAGCCUUGGGGGGUGGGGCUGGCCAACUUCGUCCGCCGGACUCGGAAUGCCACGAGACUUUGCGAGGGGCCUCCGUGUGCAGAAAAUAGGCUGCGGACGAAGCUGCGCCCCAAAGUAACUGCCCGAAGGCCGGGGCGCCAAGUUCGUCCAGCGGAAAAAGGCCACAAAAAAGGGUGGGCUAUAGCCUUGGGGGGUGGGGCUGGCCAACGUCGUCCGCCGGACUCGGAAUGGCGCGAGACUUUGCGAGGCGCCUCCGUGUGCCAAAAAUAGGCCGCGGGCACAGCCGCGCCCAAAAAUAACCACCCGAAGGCCGGGGCGCCAAAUUCGUCCAGCGGAAAAAGGCCACAAAAACAGGUGGGCUAUAGCCUUGGGGGGUGGGGCUGCCCAACUUCGUCCGCCGGUCCCGGAAUGGCGCGAGACUUUGCUAGCGGCCUCCGCGUGCCAAUAAUAGGCCGCGGGCACAGCCGCGACCGAAAAUAACCGCCCGAAGGCCGGGGCGCCAAGUAUGUCCAGUGGAAAAAGGCCACAAAAACGGGUGGGCUAUAGCCUUGGGGGGUGGGGCUAGCCAACGUCGUCCGCCGGACUCGGAAUGGCGCGAGACUUUGCGAGGCAUCUCCGUGUGCCAAAAAUAGGCUGCGGGCGCAACCGCGCCCGAAAAUAACCGCUCGAAGGCCGGGGCGCCAAGUUCGUCCAGCGGAAAAAGGCCACAAAAACGGGUGGGCUAUAGCCUUGGGGGGUGGGCAGGCCAACUUCGUCCGCCGGACUCGGAAUGGCGCGAGACUUUGCGAGGCGCCUCCGUGUGCCAAAAAUAGGCCGCGGGCACAGCCGCGCCCAAAAAUAACCACCCGAAGGCCGGGGCGCCAAGUUCGUCCAGUGGAAAAAGGCCACAAAAACGGGUGAGCUAUAGCCUUGGGGGGUGGGGCUGCCCAACUUCGUCCGCCGGUCCCGGAAUGGCGCGAGACUUUGCUAGCGGCCUCCGCGUGCCAAUAAUAGGCCGCGGGGACAACCGCGACCGAAAAUAACCGCCCGAAGGCCGGGGCGCCAAGUUCGUCCAGCGGAAAAAGGCCACAAAAACGGGUGGGCUAUAGCCUU
rnacentral:lncRNA from 1 species